GAUGAACGCUGGCGGCGUGCCUAAUACAUGCAAGUAGAACGCUCAAGCUUGGUGCUUGCACCGAGCGGAUGAGUUGCGAACGGGUGAGUAACGCGUAGGUAACCUGCCUCUUAGCGGGGGAUAACUAUUGGAAACGAUAGCUAAUACCGCAUAAUAUUCGGCAUCGCGUGAUAUUGUUGUGAAAUGUGCAAAUUCAUCACUAAGAGAUGGACCUGCGUUGUCUUAGGUAGGUGGUGAGGUAACGGCGCACGAACGCGUGGUUACGGAGACGCACUGAGAGGGUGGGCAGCCGGCCUGAGACGGAGACACGGCCCAGAGCGCUUGAGGUGGGAGCAGGAGGGAAACUGGAGGAAUGGGGGCAAACGUGAACGAGCAGCGCCGCGUGAGUGAAGAAGGAUUUCGGGUCGUGAAACUCUGUUGUAGGGGAGGAACGAGUGUGGGAGUGGAAAGUUCAGAGAGUGACGGUAACUGAUCAGAAAGGAACGGCUAACUACGUG
rnacentral:rRNA from 1 species